GUACACUCCUACGGGAGGCAGCAGUGGGGAAUAUUGGACAAUGGGCGCAAGCCUGAUCCAGCCAUGCCGCGUGAGUGAUGAAGGCCCUAGGGUUGUAAAGCUCUUUCACCGGUGAAGAUAAUGACGGUAACCGGAGAAGAAGCCCCGGCUAACUUCGUGCCAGCAGCCGCGGUAAUACGAAGGGGGCUAGCGUUGUUCGGAUUUACUGGGCGUAAAGCGCACGUAGGCGGACUAUUAAGUCAGGGGUGAAAUCCCGGGGCUCAACCCCGGAACUGCCUUUGAUACUGGUAGUCUUGAGUUCGAGAGAGGUGAGUGGAAUUCCGAGUGUAGAGGUGAAAUUCGUAGAUAUUCGGAGGAACACCAGUGGCGAAGGCGGCUCACUGGCUCGAUACUGACGCUGAGGUGCGAAAGCGUGGGGAGCAAACAGGAUUAGAAACCCUAGUAGUCCCAU
rnacentral:rRNA from 1 species